rnacentral:rRNA from 1 species
AUACGUAGGGGGCAAGCGUUAUCCGGAAUUACUGGGUGUAAAGGGAGAGUAGGCGGCAUGGUAAGUUAGAUAUGAAAGCCCGAGGCUUAACCUCGGGAUUGCAUUUAAAACUAUCAAGCUAGAGUACAGGAGAGGUAAGUGGAAUUCCUAGUGUAGCGGUGAAAUGCGUAGAUAUUAGGAAGAACACCAGUGGCGAAGGCGACUUACUGGACUGAAACUGACGCUGAGGCUCGAAAGCGUGGGGGGCGAACAGGAUUAGAUACCCUGGUAGUCCACGCCGUAAACGAUGAGUGCUAGGUGUCGGGGGGGAACCCUCGGUGCCGCAGCUAACGCAAUAAGCACUCCACCUGGGGAGUGCGAUCGCAAGAUUGAA